UACGUAGGGACCAAGCGUUGUUCGGAUUUACUGGGCGUAAAGGGCGCGUAGGCGGCGUGACAAGUCACUUGUGAAAUCUCUGGGUUUAACCCAGAACGGCCAAGUGAAACUGUUGUGCUAGAGUGCAGAAGGGGCAAUCGGAAUUCUCGGUGUAGCGGUGAAAUGCGUAGAUAUCGAGAGGAACACCAGAGGUGAAGACGGGUUGCUGGGCUGACACUGACGCUGAGGCGCGAAAGCUAGGGGAGCGAACGGG
rnacentral:rRNA from 1 species